rnacentral:rRNA from 1 species
GACGAACGCUGGCGGCGUGCCUAAUACAUGCAAGUAGAACGCUGAAGGAGGAGCUUGCUUCUCUGGAUGAGUUGCGAACGGGUGAGUAACGCGUAGGUAACCUGCCUGGUAGCGGGGGAUAACUAUUGGAAACGAUAGCUAAUACCGCAUAAUAGCAGUUGUUGCAUGACAACUGUUUGAAAGGUGCAAUUGCACCACUACCAGAUGGACCUGCGUUGUAAUAGCUAGUUGGUGGGGUAACGGCUCACCAAGGCGACGAUACAUAGCCGACCUGAGAGGGUGAUCAGCCACACUGGGACUGAGACACGGCCCAGACUCCUACGGGAGGCAGCAGUAGGGAAUCUUCGGCAAUGGACGGAAGUCUGACCGAGCAACGCCGCGGGAGUGAAGAAGGUUUUCGGAUCGGAAAGCUCUGUUGUAAGAGAAGAACGAGUGUGAGAGUGGAAAGUUCACACUGUGACGGUAUCUUACCAGAAAGGGACGGCUAACUACGUG